rnacentral:rRNA from 1 species
CUCAACCGCGGAAGUGCAUUGGAAACUGGCGGACUUGAGUGCACGAGAGGAAAGCGGAAUUCCCGGUGUAGCGGUGGAAUGCGUAGAUAUCGGGAAGAACACCAGCGGCGAAGGCGGCUUUCUGGCGUGCCACUGACCCUGAGGGACGAAAGCGUGGGGAGCGAACGGGAUUAGAUACCCCGGUAGUCCACGCCGUAAACGUUGUGCGCUCGAUAUGGGCGGCCAUCCAGUGCUGUCCGUGUCUAAGCUAACGCGUUAAGCGCACCGCCUGGGGAAUACGGCCGCAAGGCUAAAACUCAAAGGAAUUGACGGGGGCCCGCACAACCGGUGGAGCAUGUGGCUUAAUUCGAGGCUACGCGAAGAACCUUACCCGGACUUGACAUAUACGGGCUUUCGCGUGAAAGCGCGAUUUCCCUUCGGGGACCC